UACGGAGGGUGCAAGCGUUGCUCGGAAUUAUUGGGCGUAAAGCGUAUGUAGGCGGUUUUCUAAGUCUGAUGUGAAAUCCCGGGGCUUAACCUCGGAACUGCAUUGGAUACUGGAAAGCUAGAGGACGAUAGAGGAUGGUGGAAUUCCAGGUGUAGGGGUGAAAUCCGUAGAUAUCUGGAGGAACAUCAGUGGCGAAGGCGGCCAUCUGGAUCGUACCUGACGCUGAGAUACGAAAGCGUGGGGAG
rnacentral:rRNA from 1 species